CUGGGUCCCUGAGACCCUUUAACCUGUGAGCACAUCCAAGGUCACAGGUGAGGUUCUUGGGAGCCUGG
rnacentral:pre_miRNA from 1 species